GAUGAACGCUGGCGGCGUGCCUAAUACAUGCAAGUAGAACGCUGAAGGAGGAGCUUGCUCUUCUGGAUGAGUUGCGAACGGGUGAGUAACGCGUAGGUAACCUGCCUGGUAGCGGGGGAUAACUAUUGGAAUCGAUAGCUAAUACCGCAUGACAACAGUUAUUGCAUGAUAACUGUUUAAAAGGGGCAACUGCUCCACUACCAGAUGGACCUGCGUUGUAUUAGCUAGUUGGUGAGGUAACGGCUCACCAAGGCGACGAUACAUAGCCGACCUGAGAGGGUGAUCGGCCACACUGGGACUGAGACACGGCCCAGACUCCUACGGGAGGCAGCAGUAGGGAAUCUUCGGCAAUGGACGGAAGUCUGACCGAGCAACGCCGCGUGAGUGAAGAAGGGUUUCGGAUCGUAAAGCUCUGUUGUAAGAGAAGAACGAGUGUGAGAGUGGAAAGUUCACACUGUGACGGUAUCUUACCAGAAAGGGACGGCUAACUACGUG
rnacentral:rRNA from 1 species